rnacentral:rRNA from 1 species
UACGUAGGCAGCGAGCGUUGUUCGGAAUACUGGGCGUAAAGAGUGUGUAGGCGGUGCUCUAAGUUCGGUGUGAAAUCUCCUGGCUCAACUGGGAGGGUGCGCCGGAAACUGGAGUGCUUGAGCGUGGGAGAGGAAAGCGGAAUUCCUGGUGUAGCGGUGAAAUGCGUAGAUAUCAGGAGGAACACCUGUGGUGUAGACGGCUUUCUGGACCAUAGCUGACGCUGAGACACGAAAGCGUGGGUAGCAAACAGG